UACAUGGGGUGCAAACGUUGCUCGGAAUUAUUGGGCGUAAAGCGCACGUAGGUGGUCUGUUAUGUCAGAUGUGAAAGCCCUCGGCUUAACUGAGGAAGUGCACCUGAAACUGGCAGGCUUGAGUACGAAAGAGGGUCGCGGAAUUCCCGGUGUAGAGGUGAAAUUCGUAGAUAUCGGGAGGAACACCGAUGGCGAAGGCAGUGGGCUGGGCCGGUACUGACGCUGAGGAGCGAAAGCGUGGGGAGCGAACAGG
rnacentral:rRNA from 1 species